rnacentral:tRNA from 1 species
GCCCAGAUGGCGAAACUGGUAGACGCAAGGGACUUAAAAUCCCUCGGUAGAAAUACCGUGUCGGUUCGACUCCGACUCUGGGCACCA